rnacentral:misc_RNA from 1 species
UUGAGGUCGUCUAGCCGUGGUCCUCGCUCUAGUACCCAAGGAAACGCCGAGCUGAUCCGGGUGCAGGAAGCUUUGAGGCGGCAGGAGGAGUAUAACAAGCAACAACAAGAGUACUGGGCUGCUCAAUUUGCACGACAGCAGGAGAUGAUGCAGCAAAUAGCACUAGGGCAACGUCCAGAUUUUUCAGCGAUGACUAUGCCACCUCCUCCACCUAUCCCGUAG